rnacentral:rRNA from 1 species
AAAUGUAGCAUAAUAAAUUGCCUUUUAAUUCGAGGCUAGUAUGAAUGGACAAAUGAGAGAUUAAUUGUCUCAAGGCUACCCCUAUAAAUUAAUCUUCAGGUGAAGAAACCUGAAUCAUAUUGAAAGACAAGAAGACCCUAUUGAGUUUAAUCUACCUAUCUUAUAAUAAGCCUGUUUAUAACAAGACCUAUGAAAAGAAAAAGAUUUAGUUGGGGCAACUCAGGACUACCCCACACGUCCUCUACUGUAAAGAACCUCAUUCCACAAAGAUCCGGCAAAGCCGAAUACAAAAUAACAUUACCAUAGGGAUAACAGGCUAAUUUCUUCAGAGAGUUCAAAUUGACGAAGAAGAUUGGCAC